CCCAGGUCCGGAGAUAGCCGAAUAUCUCCGAUUAUGGGUAUGCCAGAUUCGAGGGCUUCCGAAGAGAUUCGAUUCAAAGCCCCGGCAAGCCGAAAACAAACGAGCCUGAAAGCCAGAUGGGAGGGGCCAGCCGCUAGGUAGAUGGAAAAAGCCGAUUGGUACCGAUGUGGGGACGGAAACGACCGAACAGCUCCGGAGAAACCCGGGGAAUUCUGAGCGGUAAUAGAGGGGUAGACUAUGGCAGUGGGCGGGGCCAAUCCGGUCCGUUCGAAGGGCGUUGGCGGAAAUUACCGAAGAUGCCCGAAGCCGUCGGGACGGACCCGAGUACCUCACGCAAGAUGGCGGAGCUGGAGGAGGUGACUCUGGACGGGAAGCCUCUUCAGGCUCUGCGGGUGACCGACCUGAAGGCCGCACUGGAGCAGCGAGGCCUAGCCAAGAGCGGGCAGAAGAGUGCCCUGGUCAAGCGGCUCAAAGGGGCUCUAAUGCUAGAAAAUUUACAAAAACACUCAACACCCCAUGCUGCAUUCCAGCCAAAUUCACAGAUCGGGGAGGAAAUGAGCCAGAACAGCUUCAUAAAGCAGUAUCUGGAAAAGCAGCAGGAGCUACUUAGGCAGCGCCUGGAACGGGAAGCUCGGGAGGCUGCGGAACUUGAAGAAGCCUCAGCUGAGUCGGAGGACGAGAUGACCCAUCCUGAGGGAGUGGCUUCCCUGCUGCCUCCUGAUUUUCAGAGCAGCCUGAACAGACCAGAGCUGGAGCUCAGCACACAUUCACCCCGAAAGAGCUCCUCUUUUUCUGAAGAAAAAGGAGAAUCUGAUGAUGAGAAGCCGAGGAAAGGGGAAAGACGAUCAUCCAGAGUUAGACAGGCAAAAUCUAAACUCCCUGAGUACAGUCAGACUGCUGAGGAGGAAGAGGAUCAAGAGACACCAUCUAGAAACCUGAGGGUCAGAGCAGAUCGAAAUUUAAAAAUAGAGGAGGAGGAAGAAGAAGAGGAAGAAGAAGAAGAUGACGAUGAUGAAGAGGAAGAGGAGGUAGAUGAGGCACAGAAAUCUAGAGAGGCUGAGGCACCAACCCUGAAGCAGUUUGAGGAUGAAGAAGGGGAAGAGAGGACCAGAGCAAAACCAGAAAAGGUGGUGGAUGAGAAACCCCUAAACAUCAGAUCCCAGGAAAAGGGUGAGUUAGAGAAAGGAGGGCGAGUUACUAGAUCCCAAGAAGAAGCUAGAAGAAGUCAUCUGGCCAGACAGCAACAAGAGAAAGAGACACAAAUUGUUUCUCUCCCUCAAGAAGAAAAUGAGGUAAAGUCUUCACAAAGUUUGGAGGAAAAAUCCCAGUCUCCCUCCCCACCUCCGCUUCCUGAAGACCUAGAGAAGGCCCCUGUUGUGCUGCAGCCAGAACAGAUAGUCAGUGAAGAGGAAACACCCCCACCUUUACUUACCAAGGAAGCGUCAUCUCCACCAACUCAUAUACAACUCCAGGAAGAGAUGGAGCCAGUGGAAGGCCCAGCACCCCCUGUCCUCAUUCAGUUGUCUCCUCCUAACACAGAUGCUGGAGCCAGGGAGCCACUAGCGUCUCCUCACCCUGCGCAGCUGCUAAGAAGCCUGUCUCCUUUGUCAGGUACUACAGACACCAAAGCAGAGUCUCCAGCAGGGAGAGUGUCAGAUGAGAGUGUCCUGCCUCUGGCUCAGAAAAGCUCACUGCCUGAAUGCUCCACCCAGAAGGGUGUUGAAAGUGAGCGUGAAAAGUCUGCUCCCCUCCCUCUAACAGUGGAGGAGUUCGCACCUGCCAAAGGCAUCACUGAGGAACCUAUGAAGAAACAGUCUUUGGAACAGAAGGAGGGCAGAAGAGCCUCCCAUGCUCUCUUCCCAGAGCACAGUGGGAAGCAGUCAGCCGACUCAUCCUCUAGCAGGUCCUCCUCCCCUUCAUCCUCCAGCUCUCCAUCCAGAUCUCCAUCUCCUGACAGUGUGGCUUCCCGCCCACAGUCGUCUCCAGGAUCUAAGCAGAGAGAUGGAGCCCAAGCACGAGUUCAUGCCAACCCUCACGAGAGACCCAAGAUGGGCUCCAGGUCAACUUCAGAGUCCAGGUCACGUUCCCGAUCUCGUUCCCGUUCCGCGUCAAGCAGCAGCAGAAAAUCUCUGAGCCCUGGAGUCUCCAGAGAUAGCAACACCAGCUACACUGAAACCAAAGAUCCCUCUUGUGGUCAGGAGGCUGCAGCUCCAUCUGGGCCACAGCUGCAGGUCCUUGAACCAAAGGAGAAGGCUCCCACGUUCUCAGCAUCUGUCCGGGGGAGGCAUCUGAGCCAUCCUGAGCCAGAGCAACAGCACGUGAUCCAGAGGUUGCAGCCGGAGCAGGGGAGCCCAAAGAAGUGUGAAGCUGAAGAGGCAGAGCCACCAGCUGCCACACAGCCUCAAACCUCAGAGACUCAGAUCUCUCAUCUGCUAGAAUCAGAAAGGACUCAUCACACUGUUGAAGAGAAGGAGGAAGUGACCAUGGACACCAGUGAAAACAGACCUGAAAAUGAGGUGCCUGAGCCUCCUCUGCCUGUUGCAGACCAAGUCAGCAAUGAUGAGCGCCCAGAGGGUGGUGCUGAAGAAGAGGAAAAGAAAGAGUACCUCAUGUACGGUAAUCCGCCCGUAAAAUAUAACCCUGCCCAACUGGCCAAUCGCUGAUGCCGCCUCUACCUCUGGACCCACCCGCUGCUACCGAGCCGCCCAAUCAGAGCCGAGUGUGCUCCCGGUGUCUUGGCCAGAGGGGCGUGUCUGUGGGCGUCUGUGAUGGGCCCCGCCUCCCUUCUUGCUUACAUCGGGGCUGAGACGAGCACUGUUCUGGAGAGACUUGUACUGAGAACAAGAAGCAUUUGGAAAGGGGUGGACUUGAAUCAUCGCCCUACUCGGGACACCCCAAGAAGAGUUGUGCCAGUGCUGGGGUGCCUGCCCACAUGCCCUUACCUGUCAGAGACUGUGGGUUGCCUUGUUUGCUACAGACUGUUGGGAUCCCCAUCUAGGGACCAAGAAACCUAAGAGAGUCAGAUGUUUAUGACGACAGUGCCGAGCUGUAAACACUUGAGUGGGGCCGGUGGCCUAAGCUUUGUUGACUAGAAACCCUGCAGAGAAGUCUGGGGGUCUGUACCCAGGGGCUUAAAGCUGAUGGCAGCCCAGCCCGCGUGUCACCACUUGCUCUUCAGAUGGACUUUCCUUUGGUCCCUGCUGUCCAUGGUGAAGGGCAGCAUCGUGUCGGUCGCUUCAGCUUCUCCUCCAUCCCUGGAGGCAGGGACUCACUCACCCACCCAACCGGAACCACUGUCUCAGCUGCAGUCCCUGAGGAGGUGCCAACGACAAACCGGAAGACAUACUCUGAGCUUGCUGCUGAAUGUGUACCAGGUCCUGGGGAAAUUGACUACUGCCACCCCCGGGCUACCUUCAUCAGAGGCUCCAUGAUCCUGCUCGGUGACAGGACCUCUCCCCAGUUACACUCAGAGGAGGAAGGGACUUUGGAGUUGUCACCUGGAUCCCAAGUGUUGGCUAGUGGCACUGCUGCAGCUUGUCACUGGUGGACAUAGGGUCCUGCCUGCCUCAUGAAAGAAAGGCAAGGAGCAUUCCUGCCGCUCACAGGCCGCUUGCUCAUUCAUCAGGGACUGCAAGAUGAUGCCCUACAGGGCCAGGACUGAUGCUCUGCCCCCAUUCCCCCCUCUGCCCCUCGCUGAGGCUGGCCAUCGCCAGUGAACUGUUUUGACAUCUUGGAAACUGGGCAGCGUCCCCCCACACGAUUCCCUCCCGCCCCCCCUGCGCCCCUGGGAGGACUCUGGCAGUGCCACGCUGACUACCACGCCGUGCGCCCACCUUUUUUGCCAACCCAACCCCCCACCAAUUGCACAGCGCCUAGCAGGGAGGGCUCAUUCUGAUUGGACGGCGGUUGACUAGAUACAGUACACAGUGAGGUGCGAUUGGCUGAACUGAAGAUCCCAGAGUUCGAUGCCCAAGUCAUUCAAGAGGAAAAUCUCCGUUGUCUCAGCUACCAAGGGGGUGCAAGCUGGAAACAGUGACACAGAGGGGGGCCAGCCUGGCCGAAAACGCCGUUGGGGAGCCAGCACUGCCGCGACACAGAAGAAACCGUCCAUCAGUAUCACCACUGAGUCACUCAAGAGCCUCAUCCCCGACAUCAAACCCCUGGCGGGGCAGGAGGCUGUUGUGGAUCUUCAUGCCGAUGACUCCCGAAUCUCUGAGGAUGAGACAGAGCGUAAUGGCGACGAUGGGACCCAUGACAAGGGACUGAAGAUAUGCCGGACAGUCACUCAGGUAGUACCCGCAGAGGGCCAGGAGAAUGGGCAGAGGGAAGAGGAAGAAGAGAAAGAGCCUGAAGCCGAGCUGCCGGCGCCACCCCAGGUGUCAGUGGAGGUUGCCUUGCCCCCACCUGUGGAGCACGAAGUAAAGAAAGUAACAUUAGGAGAUACCUUAACCCGGAGGUCCAUCAGCCAACAGAAGUCUGGAGUUUCCAUUACAAUUGAUGACCCAGUCCGGACCGCCCAGGUGCCCUCCCCACCCAGGGGCAAGAUCAGUAACAUUGUCCACAUCUCCAACCUGGUUCGUCCCUUCACUUUAGGCCAGCUGAAGGAAUUAUUGGGGCGUACAGGAACUUUGGUGGAAGAGGCCUUCUGGAUAGACAAGAUCAAAUCUCAUUGCUUUGUGACGUACUCUACAGUAGAGGAAGCCGUUGCCACCCGCACAGCUCUGCACGGGGUCAAGUGGCCCCAGUCCAACCCCAAAUUCCUUUGUGCUGACUAUGCUGAGCAAGAUGAGCUGGACUAUCACCGGGGACUCUUGGUAGAUCGGCCAUCUGAAACUAAGGCAGAGGAACAGGGAGCACCAAGGCCCCUGCAUCCCCCACCCCCACCCCCAGUCCAGCCACCGCCCCACCCCCGGGCUGAGCAGCGGGAGCAGGAAAGGGCUGUUCGAGAGCAAUGGGCAGAACGGGAACGGGAAAUGGAGCGCCGGGAGAGGACUCGGUCUGAGAGAGAAUGGGAUCGGGACAAAGUUCGAGAGGGACCCCGCUCCCGAUCACGGUCCCGUGACCGCCGCCGGAAAGAGCGAGCAAAAUCUAAAGAAAAGAAGAGUGAAAAGAAAGAAAAAGCCCAGGAGGAGCCACCUGCCAAGCUGCUGGAUGACCUCUUCCGUAAGACUAAGGCAGCUCCCUGCAUCUAUUGGCUCCCUCUGACUGAGAGCCAAAUUGUUCAGAAGGAGGCAGAGCAAGCUGAACGGGCCAAGGAGCGGGAGAAGCGGCGAAAA